rfam:Salmo salar isolate Sally breed double haploid chromosome ssa07, whole genome shotgun sequence.
AGCUCAGUAGCUCAGUUGGUAGAGCAUGGUGUUUGCAACGCCAGGGUUGUGGGUUCGAUUCCCACGGGGGCCG